rnacentral:rRNA from 2 species
CCUGUACUUUCUAUAAUAGUGAUGGAGUGACGGAGGAGGAUAAUCUUACCACUUACUGGAUUGUGGGGUAAGCGUUCACUGGUGACUGUAGGCAAAUCCGCAGUCUAUAACCGGGAGGCGUGAUGCAUAGGGUCAAACCGAAUUAGAUGAUUCCACACUUCCAAGAAAAGCUUCUAAACUUAAUAUUAUGGAAACCUGUACCGAGAACGGACACACGUCCCCGAGAUGAGUAUUCUAAGGCGAGCGAGAAAACUAGUGUAAGGAACUCUGCAAAAUGACCCCGUAAGUUCGCAAGAAGGGGCGCCUAAGGUAACACUUAGGCCACAGUAAAUUAUGAGGGGCAACUGUUUAUCAAAAACACAGCUCUCUGCUAAACCGCAAGGUGAUGUAUAGGGGGUGAAGCCUGCCCAGUGCCCGAAGGUUAAGUGGAUGCGUUAG